rnacentral:rRNA from 1 species
AGUGAACGCUGGCGGUAGGCCUAACACAUGCAAGUCGAACGGCAGCACAGUAAGAGCUUGCUCUUACGGGUGGCGAGUGGCGGACGGGUGAGGAAUACAUCGGAAUCUACUUUUUCGUGGGUGAUAACGUAGGGAAACUUACGCUAAUACCUCAUACGACCUACGGGUGAAAGCAGGAGAUCUUCGGACCUUGCGCGAUUGAAUGAGCCGAUGUCGGAUUAGCUAGUUGGCGGGGUAAAGGCCCACCAAGGCAACGAUCCGUAGCUGGUCUGAGAGGAUGAUCAGCCACACUGGAACUGAGACACGGUCCAGACUCCUACGGGAGGCAGCAGUGGGGAAUAUUGGACAAUGGGCGCAAGCCUGAUCCAGCCAUACCGCGUGAGUGAAGAAGGCCUUCGGGUUGUAAAGCCCUUUUGUUGGGAAAGAAAAGCAGCAGGUUAAUACCCCGCUGUUCUGACGGUACCCAAAGAAUAAGCACCGGCUAACUUCGUG